CUGUCUAGCGGGAAACUGUAGCAAUAGCGAAUAGACAGAAGUCAGCCGACGUCAUAGUAGUGUGCAUCGCGCAUGAAGGAC
rfam:Dolosigranulum pigrum ATCC 51524 genomic scaffold supercont1.1, whole genome shotgun sequence.